rnacentral:rRNA from 1 species
UAGGGAAUCUUCCACAAUGGACGAAAGUCUGAUGGAGCAACGCCGCGUGAGUGAAGAAGGUUUUCGGAUCGUAAAACUCUGUUGUUGGAGAAGAAUGUAUCUGAUAGUAACUGAUCAGGUAGUGACGGUAUCCAACCAGAAAGCCACGGCUAACUACGUG